AGCGAACGCUGGCGGCAGGCUUAACACAUGCAAGUCGAACGCAUCCUUCGGGGUGAGUGGCAGACGGGUGAGUAACGCGUGGGAACGUGCCCCUCAGUUCGGGAUAACCCCGGGAAACUUGGGCUAAUACCGGAUACGUGCGAGAGCAGAAAGAUUUAACGCUGAGGGAUCGGCCCGCGUCUGAUUAGCUAGUUGGUGGGGUAAUGGCCCGCCAAGGCGACGAUCAGUAGAUGGUCUGAGAGGAUGUUCAGCCACGUUGGAACUGAGACACGGCCCCAACUGCUACGAGAGGCAGCAGGAGGGAUUAUUUGACCAUGGGCGCCAGCCUGAUCCAGCCAUGCCGCGUGAGUGAUGCAGGCCUUAGGGUUGUAAAGCUCUUUCGUCCGGGACGAUAAUGACGGUACCGGAAGAAGAAGCCCCGGCUAACUUCGUGCCAGCCGCCGCAGUAA
rnacentral:rRNA from 1 species